rfam:Triticum urartu cultivar G1812 contig97470, whole genome shotgun sequence.
CUUAGUAAUUGUUUAAUCGUGGCAAAGUUAGAACGUUAUCUGGUAGUUUUACUCAUGCAAGUCGUAUGAUACUUAUAAAUAUCAUGGCGUACAGGCGAGGAUAAAAAAGUACAUACCUUUAGUAGAUGAUAGAAACAUCUAAGAAUAAAGGAAAUUUUCCGACUAAAGAUUGGCUUUAUAUCUAGCAGGUAGUUGGAGUGGUAAAAGCGCUCCAAGCCUAUGACGGAUAGGAAAUAGCGAAAGCUUCAAUUCCCGCAAUUGGUUUGAGAAUAACCGAUGGUGUCUUUAAGACAUGCUGCAGAGGAGGAUCUUGGGCAAUGCUCGAAAGAGUGACCCAGCUAACCAGAACUCUAUAAGAGUGUCGUAAGGGAGGAUAAUGACGUUACCUUACUAAUAGUCCAAUCUAAGUCUCGUGCCAGCAGACGCGGUUAUACGAACUGGGCAAACGUUUAAUAAAUUAAUAGGUAUUAAGGAUCCGUAGGCGGUUUCUAAUAAAGAAACUAGAAUCUAAUAGAGGAUAGUGGAAUGCUAGGAGGAGGGAUGAUAUCCAUUGAUAUCUAGCGGAACACUAAAGGCGAAAGCAGCUAUCCAGCUAAAGAUUGACGCUCAGGGAUGAAAGUCUGGGGAGCAAAACAGAUUAGAUACCUGUGUAGUCCAGACCGUAAACUAUUUACAUUUCUUAUUUGGCUAAAUAUAAAUAUUUAAUUAUGUCAGAUAAGCAGCAAACCGCUGUAUGUGUAACACCUUGUAAGUACAGUCCCACGACCGAAAGCAAAAAGAUUAGACCAUCCUAAAGACCCGGAGUGGAGCAUGUUGUUUAAUACGAUAAUCCGCGUAGAACCUUACCUCUCCUUGAAUGGCUUACAUUAUUUAUUGUAAGAUCACAGGCGUUGCAUGGCUGUCGGCAGUUCGUGUCGUAAGAUGUUAGGUUGAGUCCGCCAACGAACGCAAUCCCUAUAAAAAGUUGUUAUUUAUUAUAUAAUUCUUUUUAUUUGCAUUCAAUAAGAAGCAUUUUGGGAAUACGAUAAGCCUUCAUGACCCUUAUGGAGUAUGGGCUACAGACGUGCUACUUGAACCUAACAAACUGAUGCAAUAUCGUAAGAUGGAGCUAAUCAGUAAAAUAUGGUGAUACUAGGAUCGUGGUCUGAAAUUCGACCACGUGAAUCAGGAAUUCCGAGUAAUCGUUGAUAAGUACGCAACGGUGAACUUUUACAUUUGGGAGAUACUAACCGUCUAUCAAGUGUUGGUCGUUUAUCAAGCUAUGAACUAGUAUUUGAUUUGAUUCUUU